UUUUUAGUAUAAGUAUAUUCCAUGCAAUGUUUGGGACAUACUUACACGAAAA
rnacentral:pre_miRNA from 1 species